rnacentral:rRNA from 1 species
AACGAACGCUGGCGGCGUGCCUAACACAUGCAAGUCGAACGGAGGCAAGGGGCUUGCUCCUUGCUUUAGUGGCGCACGGGUGAGUAACGCGUGGACAAUCUGCCUGAUGCUCUGGGAUAACAUCUCGAACGGGGUGCUAAUACCGGAUAAGCCCACGGGGUCUUCGGAUCUUGCGGGAAAAGGGGGGGACCUUCGGGCCUCCUGACAUCAGAUGAGUCCGCGUCCCAUUAGCUAGUUGGUGGGGUAAGGGCCUACCAAGGCGACGAUGGGUAGCUGGUCUGAGAGGGUGAUCAGCCACACUGGAACUGAGAAACGGUCCAGACUCCUACGGGAGGCAGCAGUGGGGAAUUUUGCGCAAUGGGGGCAACUCUGACGCAGCAACGCCGCGUGAGUGAUGAAGGCCUUUGGGUCGUAAAGCUCUGUCAGAGGGAAAGAAAUGUGGGCGGCUAAUAUCCGUUCCACUUGACGGUACCCUCAAAGGAAGCACCGGCUAACUCCGUGCCAGCAGCCGCCGUAAGAC